AGUGAACGCUGGCGGUAGGCCUAACACAUGCAAGUCGAACGGCAGCACAGUAAGAGCUUGCUCUUACGGGUGGCGAGUGGCGGACGGGUGAGGAAUACAUCGGAAUCUACUUUUUCGUGGGGGAUAACGUAGGGAAACUUACGCUAAUACCGCAUACGACCUACGGGUGAAAGCAGGGGAUCUUCGGACCUUGCGCGAUUGAAUGAGCCGAUGUCGGAUUAGCUAGUUGGCGGGGUAAAGGCCCACCAAGGCGACGAUCCGUAGCUGGUCUGAGAGGAUGAACAGCCCAACUGGAACUGAGACACGGUCCCGACUCCUAAGGGAGGCAGCCGUGGGGAAUAUUUGACAAUGGGCGCAAGCCUGAUCCAGCCAUACCGCGUGGGUGAAGAAGGCCUUCGGGUUGUAAAGCCCUUUUGUUGGGAAAGAAAAGCAGCAGGUUAAUACCCCGCUGUUCUGACGGUACCCAAAGAAUAAGCACCGGCUAACUUCGUG
rnacentral:rRNA from 1 species